rnacentral:lncRNA from 1 species
CAAAAAGCUAAUGUAAACAGAUAUACUGAAAUGGGUUACAUUACCGAUUAACUGGAAGAAACCGGGGAACGAAACAUACAUUUUAAAAAGUCAUCGCAACAAAAGUGUAUCCGGAUAACUUUUUAUGCCCUAUUUAUGGGCAUUAUGUUUUCUGGUCUGUGCGUCCGUCCGUCUGUUCGUUCGUUCGUUCGUCCGUUCGUCCGUCUGUCCCAUGUCAGGUUAAAGUUUUUGGUCGAGGGAGUUUUUGAUGAAGUUGAAGUCCAAUCAACUUGAAACUUAGUAUAUAUGUUCUGUAUGAUAUGAUCUUUCUAAUUUUAAUUCCAAAUUAGAGAUUUAACCCCAUUUUCACGGUCCACUGAACAUAGAAAAUGAUAGUGCGGAUGGGG